CCACCUUCCUUAAGCAGCUUCUGUGCCUGAUUCUUUUCACUAUUUUUUUCUCUAGAAAGUUACAGGUCCUAAGCACAGAUAACUCCAAAUUAUUCAGAACUGUGAGGUCUGAAGUGUUAAUCUGUGUAUUAAAAUCAUGGGUUUAAAUCCUUUUUGUCUUCUUACAACAUUUAGAACAAUUGAUGCCUUGCUAGAGGAGCAAAUAAAUCCAACCUUAAUCUUAUUUAUAACUUUAGUUAAUGUUUUGAAUUGGAGCAUUUUGGAUUAAGCAGCCCCCCCCCCAGCACCAUAAGGUUAAUUUUUAUUUGUGGAGGUUCUGUUGGCUGGUUUAGAUGAAAGAUGUUAAUUACUACUUUGAUUCAAAAAAUUUCUUCAGGUAAAAGGAAAAUGCAAUUAAAAAAUGAGAAGCUAGAUGUGAGAUGCCUGGGGUUUUAGAAUAAAACCAAGCCAGUAUUUUAAAGUAAAAUAUAAUUUGAAAGAAGUUUUUUUUCUUGCAUUGCUGACCUGAGCAAGUAAAAAGAAUCAAAACAUUUUAUUCUUCCAUUCUCUCUUUGGACUCCACCUUGUCGCUAGGUCUUCUCUCUGCAUCUGCUUCACUGUUCUUUGGGUUCUGAAUGCAACAGUGAAUUUUUGUAGCCCAGCUCUUUUCUCCACGCCUCCCAGAGUGUAAAUUGUUAUUCAAGGAGUUUGACUGCAGCCCUGCAGAAACAGUCCUGAACCCAGCAUUGCUGGGACAAAGGCAGAGGGGCUCUCUUCUGCUCCGACCUGCUGGCUGACAGUUGGAAUUUUUGAUAUAUAUUUUAUUUGGUGUUUCCAAUAUGUGUUUGCCUCUCCCUCCCCACCUCCUUGCAGCCAUCUAUUACUUUAAAAACAUCUCUUCCCUAUAAACCUCAGCUCAUCCUUGUGAACUGUUUUUGACCUUGCCAUCAGUGUAACCAGCAGCUCUGAAAGUUGACUAGGAAGAAUUCCACCCGCUUUCUUACCUGUCAACUUUGCUCAGUCUCCUCCAAGCUGGGAUCAAGAAAGGGAAGCGGACUUUAUGUCUUUGUUUUUUGGUCCUUUCCCCAUUUAGGCUUUCUAUCAUAGCUUUCCCUCCUCCAUUAAUAACAAUAAAGCACCCCACAAUUUAUCUUCUUAAAUAAGAUGGGAUGGAAUCAUCGUACUUUCUUUCCUUUUGCCCUGUUGUUUCUUAUUUCUUCCAGUUUUAGCUGCUUCACUGUCUCCCAGAAGGAGAGUAUUUCAAUAAAUAGCCCUCUAGCGCUAUCUGGCGGGGCUCCAAGGGCGACGUGCGCUCGCUCUCGCUGUCUCUGGCACCUUCCCACUCUCUCUUCCCUCCUCUUUACCUUCCUCUUAUUCUUCCUCUCUCCUCUUUCUCUUGUCUCUUCCGCAAUCUUGAUCCUAUCCUCUUUUCUCUCUUCCUGAUGCCCCCCUUUCUAGCUCCUACCCUCACGUGCAGCGCAGGCAGCUGGAACGACCCGGUCAGAGGCAGAUACCCUCGGAUCCAGGUGACGCUCCGGCGAGGGAGCUCUUCUAGGACUCCCACCUUCACCCAAUGUGGCUCACACACGUCCUUUGCCUUUGAUUCGCAUCUUAAAGUUGUUUAAUCGUUGCUUAAGCCUCAACGUCUCAGCUGGCGGUGGUCUGGAGGGGCGUGAAGUUUGAAGGAAAGAAAUCAGACACUGGAAUCCCGGCUAGUGGAGACCAGCUAAGUUUUAGGAUUCCCUCCAAGACUGAUAGGAAAGAGGGCCACUUCUGGACUAGUUGUGAGGAUGUUUCUUUCUAUAACACGGAAGCACUUUUUAUAAACCUUUUAAUGUAUUUAAAUAAAUCUAUUUGGACAUUAAGAGAAGCUAUACAUACAAAGAUAGCCGGGCUUUAUGCCGGCAUUCCCAGCAUUAGGGAAAAAAAAAAUCUAACUGAGAAGCUUUUUUCCAUAACUAACCAUGGCCAAAAAAAAAAAAAAAAAAGCAAAGCAAAAGAAAGUUUCCUGCGUGCAUCUGCAUGUCUUCGUGUGCACGUUUAUAAACAUCUUCCAGUCCGUGUUUGAGUGUUACCUCCCUCCUGCCAUACACUCGAAGGCAGAGGCGUCGAGGGAUCGCCCCCAGAGAGCUGUGUUUACUUAGGUUUUUUUUUUUUUUAAUCUCUCCGCCAUGUAUGACAAGUGUUACUUUAAGAAAUUCAUCAACCUUCUACAGAUACUUCCAGUUUUACUGUAAUGAUCUGCAGAAGAGAACUGCCAUCACUUUCUCACAUCCCAAGGUGUUGCAGGGACUGAAGAGAAAGGGGAGAGCGGCUGAAACGCUUAAUUACAGCGGGGGAGGAGGGGCGCGAGGCCGGACCGAGGGAGGGGGCGUAAGGAAGGUCUUUACUUGGCCAGGUAGUACCUGGAGAAAGCUGCGAAUCCUCAUCGCGAAUAUUUGGGAAAGAUAUGGUUGCCUUUUUUUUUUUUUUUUUUUUUUUUUGGUAAUGCCUUUGGGGAGAAGUGAUACUCUUCUGUAACAAUUAGCUCAGACAAUAAAAAUAAUUGGAAAAUCA